UGAGGAAUAUUGGUCAAUGGCCGUAAGGCUGAACCAGCCAAGUAGCGUGAGGGAAGACUGCCCUAUGGGUUGUAAACCUCUUUUAUGCGGGGAUAAAGGUGUCCACGUGUGGAUGUUUGCAGGUACCGCAUGAAUAAGGACCGGCUAAUUCCGUGCCAGCAGCCGCGGUAAUACGGAAGGUCCGGGCGUUAUCCGGAUUUAUUGGGUUUAAAGGGAGCGUAGGCCGGCUUUUAAGUCAGCUGUGAAAGUCCGCGGCUCAACCGUGGAAUUGCAGUUGAAACUGGAGGCCUUGAGUGCACACAGGGAUGCCGGAAUUCAUGGUGUAGCGGUGAAAUGCUUAGAUAUCACGAAGAACCCCGAUUGCGAAGGCAGCCUGCCGCAGCGUUACUGACGCUGAAGCUCGAAAGCGCGGGUAUCGAACAGG
rnacentral:rRNA from 1 species